UCACCCACAUGGUCCUUCGAGGUGCUGCCGCCGCCGCCCGACCCGCGCCUUCGCGCCACUUCGCGCCCUCGGGCGAGGCCGGGGGGGUGGGGACGGCCUCCGCCGCGCGGCCGAGCCUCGCGCCCCUCGCCGAGCCCCUUCGCGGGCCGGGCCGGCCGCACCCCCCCGGGCCCGGGGCCUCGGGGUCGUAGUCAAGCGGGGGCGGGUGGGGAGGCGGGCGCCGGAGCCCACGGCGGGCGAGGCGAAGAUGGUGGCGGCGACUUCUCCCGUCAUUCAUACACGUGGACCUAACUGCGCCAAGAGCUUAUCCUAAGGAUAGUUGGCUGAAAACGAAGUUUUCGCAAGUGGUAAAUGAAACAUCCCUAUUGAGGUAAUACGGGAAGCAGCAACAAACACCAAAGUGAUUUACCUGUAUUAAUAAUUUAGUGUCUAUGGCAUCUGUAUUUGUAUCCUAAUUUCACCAUUGAGGAAGUGAAAUCAGCAAAAUUUCUUUGCAAGAAGAAUAUAAAACUGAUCCAGCAACAGCAGGUCCAGUCUGCACACCAUCAUACUCGAACUCUACCAGCAUCUCUCCCUCUGACCUGCCUUCCUCUUCCACUUUUAAGGAUCUUGUGAUUUCAUUGAGUUCACCCAGAUAUCCCAGACUAAUCAUUUUAAGGUCAGCUGAUUAGCAGCCUGAAUUCCAUUUGCUGCCUUAAUUCCCCUUUACCAUAUAAAUUUAUAUUCACAGGGAUUAGAAUGAAAAGAUUUUGGUGCCCAUUCUGCCUGUCACACCUUCUGGAAUUAGGUCACUUGGGACUAUUAUGUUCUGGGCCCGCAUAACUACUUGGGAUUUUAUUCAGACUGAGUUUAAGUAAAAUUAAGAAAAAUACAAUUCAGUGAGACAAAAUAGAACAAACAGGCUGUCCCCUGUUACUUAAAUGCCAAGUUUAUAGAGGUUCUAAGAAUAAUUAUUCAUAAAUACAAUAACCAGUUGUAAUCCUUUUUCUGAGUUAAACAUUUUCUCUGGAAAGGCUCAUAGUAUUAUAAACCUAUUAUAGGAAAACUAAAGAACUAGUAGGUUAUUUAAAGAAAAGAAUGGUUAAGUGAAAUGUUAGCCAAUAAAGCAUUAAAGAACUUCACGAAGUGAAGAUGCAGAAUAUGAGGAACUCAUCAGGGUCUAAAAUGGGAUUCUCAAACAGGAAUGAGCCUCUAUACAGAUAGAGAAGGUAAAUAAGCCAUUUAUCCUUUGCAUUUUUACAGCACCUAAAGAGUGUUUUUAUUCAAAGCAACCACUAGCAGCUAAAACACUAAACUUUGAAAUCACUAGAAAAAGGAAGGAGAAAACAACUAAGCAUUUUAAUGGAAAUUUAGCACAAAUUUUAAGUAGCUUGUGUUAUAACUCAAAACAGAUUCCAUAACCUGCAAGCCUUGAUUAUUUGUAACCAUUGAAAAUAUAGGCAGUGGGUAGGUUGGCCAUGCUCAGAGAUAAGUCCUGGACCUUACUUUGGUGCUCUCUGGCCCAGCAAUAAGAUCUAUUAUAGAUCAGCUUCUUGAAAACAAAACUUUUGUAUUUCUCAAAACAACUGUGCAAUAGGCAUUAAAUAUUUGUUAAAUGAAU